rnacentral:rRNA from 1 species
UACGUAGGGUGCAAGCGUUGUCCGGAAUUAUUGGGCGUAAAGAGCUCGUAGGUGGUUUGUCGCGUUGUUCGUGAAAACUCACAGCUUAACUGUGGGCGUGCGGGCGAUACGGGCAGACUGGAGUACUGCAGGGGAGAGUGGAAUUCCUGGUGUAGCGGUGAAAUGCGCAGAUAUCAGGAAGAACACCUAUGGCGAAGGCAGCUCUCUGGGACGGUACUGACGCUGAGACGCGAAAGCGUGGGGAGCGAACAGG